rnacentral:rRNA from 1 species
AGAGUGUUCAAAGCAGCCUGUAUGGGCAUUGAAUAGAUUAGCAUGGGAUAAUAGAAUAGGAUUCUUACCUAUUUAUUGGUUUAUAGGUUUAGAAUAAUGAUUAAUAGGGAUAGUUGGGGGCACUUGUAUUCAAUAGUCAGAGGUGAAAUUCUAGGAUUUAUUGAAGACAAACUUCAGCGAAAGCAUUUGCCAAGGAUGUUUUCAUUAAUCAAGAACGAAAGUUAGGGGAUCGAAGACGAUUAGACACCGUCGUAGUCUUAACUAUAAACUAUGCCGACCAGGGAUAUGAGAGUUUUAUAUUUAUGUUAUGAAUAAUAACAUAAUCUCUUGUGGACCUUGUGAGAAAUCAUAAGUUUUUGGGUUCUGGGGGGAGUAUGGUCGCAAGGCUGAACUUAAAGGAAUUGACGGAGGG